rnacentral:snoRNA from 1 species
GGCCAUGAGGAGGAGCGGGUUUGCUGACUCGGGGCAUGAUGACCCUUUGGAGCCCCGAGC